rnacentral:rRNA from 1 species
UGAUCCAGCCAUGCCGCGUGCGGAUGACGGCCCUAGGGUUGUAAACUGCUUUUAUACAGGAAGAAACACCCCGACGUGUCGGGACUUGACGGUACUGUAAGAAUAAAGAUCGGCUAACUCCGUGCCAGCAGCCGCGGUAAU